UGCCCUAGCGGUGAUUUCGAAGGUAAGCUAUUAAACCUAGCUGUGGAUUUUAGAGCUUCAAUUUUCUUCUCUGUUUACUGAUCCUCAUCUUCUUAGCGGUGGAAUUAGGUCACGGAUUUGGAGAGGUUGGUAUCGGGGAUGUGUUGUUGGAUUAGGGGAAGGAAUCGGAUCAGACUCGUGCUAGGUUUUCCCUUGAUCGGAUCAGUGGACCUCCUCCUCCUGGCUGUUGACUGAGGUUCCGGUUUGAGUGAGGUUCGAUUCUGAUUAGUGAGGUGUGCUCGGGAUUUCAGCAAGGUUGAGUGUUGUGAACUUUCUUAGGUUCCAACAGCAGCUACCCUAACCGGCAGCUACAUUUUUGGUGGUGAUCUACUGGUGAUCACCUUGGAUUUGGGACUCUGAUUCGAGACGAGCAUCUCGACAUUG